AUUGAACGCUGGCGGCAGGCUUAACACAUGCAAGUCGAGCGGGGUGAUGGUGCUUGCACUAUCACUUAGCGGCGGACGGGUGAGUAAUGCUUAGAGAUCUGCCUAUUAGUGGGGGACAACAUCUCGAAAGCGAUGCUAAUACUGCAUACGUCCUACGGGAGAAAGCAGGGGAUCACUUGUGACCUUGCGCUAAUAGAUGAGCCUAAGGCGGAUUAGCUAGUUGGUGGGGUAAAGGCCUACCAAGGCGCCGAUCUGUAGCGGGUCUGAGAGGAUAAUCCGCCACACUGGGACUGAGACACGGCCCAGACUCCUACGGGAGGCAGCAGUGGGGAAUAUUGGACAAUGGGGGGAACCCUGAUCCAGCCAUGCCGCGUGUGUGAAGAAGGCCUUAUGGUUGUAAAGCACUUUAAGCGAGGAGGAGGCUCUUUUGGUUAAUACCCAAGAUGAGUGGACGUUACUCGCAGAAUAAGCACCGGCUAACUCUGUGCCAGCCGCCGCUGUAA
rnacentral:rRNA from 1 species